AGCAGCCGCGGUAAUUCCAGCUCCAAUAGCGUAUAUUAAAGUUGUUGCAGUUAAAAAGCUCGUAGUUGAAUUUCGGGAUCAGUUGGUCGGUCGUGCCUCGGUACGUACUGGUCAAAUUGAUUCCUACCUUCUGACGAACCACGAUGUCAUUAAUUUGGUGUCGCGGGAAAUCAGGACUGUUACUUUGAAAAAAUUAGAGUGUUUAAAGCAGGCUCGCGCUUGAAUACAUUAGCAUGGAAUAAUGAAAUAGGACGUUUGAUUCUAUUUUGUUGGUUUCUAGGAUCGACGUAAUGAUUAAUAGGGAUAGUUGGGGGCAUCAGUAUUCAAUUGUCAGAGGUGAAAUUCUUGGAUUUAUUGAAGACUAACUACUGCGAAAGCAUUUGCCAAGGAUGUUUUCAUUAAUCAAGAACGAAAGUUAGGGGAUCGAAGACGAUCAGAUACCGUCGUAGUCUUAACCAUAAACUAUGCCGACUAGGGAUCGGAUGAUGUUAAUUUUUUAAUGACUC
rnacentral:rRNA from 1 species